AUACACACAUGUUUUCUUUCUUUCUUUUUUUCCUUUUAGGACUGCACCUGUGACAUAGGGAAGUUCCCAGGCUAGGGAUCAAAUUGAAGCUGCGGCUGCCAGCAUACGCCACAGCCACAGCAACGCCAGAUUGACCUACACCGUAGUUCACAGCAAUGUUGGAUCCUUAACCCACUGACGGAGCCCAGGGAUCAAACCCACAUCCUCAUGGAUACUAGUUGGGUUCUUAACCUGCUGAGCCACAAAGGGAACGCCAAGCCCAGUUUUCUUAAAGUAAAACUACCUCAGUUCAUAAGGUAACACAUUUGAUCUCCAGUAGACUCAUGGAUAAAAUGCCUUAUAUUGAUAUAGUGCUUUAUACUUACAAAAUAUUUUCUCAUGUCCUUUCAUCUUGACCUCUUUUGUAGAAAUGAGGGUUAAAGAUGCAGCAGAUUUUUUACUUGCCCUGGAAUCUCAGGGAGGUUACAAUGGCUGGUCCAAAUUCCACAUUGAGUAAAUUAUGGUAUCAGGAAUUAAACAAGGACUUCUCAGACCAUGUUGUGACUGAUUGAUACCCUUAUGCAUUAAAUCAUCAGAAGGAAAGACUGUCUUUUAUAUGUGGGCAAACGCAGGUCUUUUCAGUUGUAUAUGCUCCCACCUUCUCAAGGAUGGUGCUCUUGCUUUAUUUUAUCUAAAAAAACAAACCCCCUCCGUCUUCAACAGUCCAGCUCUCAUCAUCCCCAUUUCUGUUUCACAGGACUGACUUUGCUAUUUAGGGAAUCAUCAGAGUAUUAUUCCAAAGGGAGGAAAAUCAGAUAAAACCCAGCAUUCCUGGCUACAGCCUGUAUGAUUAUGAACACAGUACUGUACUUACAGUAGAGUAGGAUGCCAGGGUGAAUAGACACCGCUGCCUUUGAAAGGAUGAACGUUCGUUCUGACCUAAUAACUAUCUAACGCUGGGUACAAUUAUCUUUUCGCAAGUGGCACAUUAUUAUUUGACACAUUAAUUGUUGUGUCAUUUCUUUCUGAAAGGCAUGUUGCGAGCCUAAUACAAACCAGAGGCUUCAUGAAUUAUCCAUGUCAUACGCUGCAGCACUGAUUUACCUUUUGCAAAAUAAAAUCAACCCAAUCGCACCGCCUGUGUUCAAUUACCACAGGCCGAUCUGUGCCACCCUGUGACCCCAAGAGCUUUCUUCCUGGGUCUUGGCAUUUCUGAUCAACAUUAGCAAUGGUCUGCUUACUCACUACAGCUAUGAAAGUGUUCUUCCUCGUAGGUAAACUAGAGAUGUGUCUUUGAUAACAGGAACAUUCUUUAGGAUGUAGUUUUUGACUUGAGAUCCCCUUUUUCUGUGUCCAUUCGACCUUGGUCCCUUUUUCAUUCUUUCCCAGGAAGGGCUCUCUGGACAGAGAACUGUUUCCCGGGCAAAAAGACCCCAGUAAGCCCCAAACAUUCAAAUCUGGAUGACCUUCCAUUGCCACAGCUGCCACUCGGCAGCCUUCGAAGCUGAUGGGCUGGCGGCCCUGGGUUUGCCUCUGGGCCUGUCAUCUGUCGUGUUGUUAGACUGCUGAUGGGCUGUCGCUGCCUGCCCCUGAAGCUGGCACUUCCCUCUUCCAACUUGGGCUGCCACUGGAUGAUAAAAUCAAGCAGCCUCACAGCCGCCCUUCAUCCUCCUCCAGAUCCCAGUGGUUGAAUCAGUCUCCAAGCAGAAGCAGAAAAACUGAACCUUUCCAUUGUCUUACCAAACACAUUGGGUGUGCAUAUUCCACCGCAAAUUACCAUUAAAAAAAAAAAAUCAGAAUUAGAAUGCAUUUGCUGUUCUAUACUUUGCUGCUAGUUAAUGCCAUGCCACCCUGAAGACUCAUCUCCCCUUUUGGUUUUAAUUGGGUUCUUUUCUGUUGCUUUCAUAUCAAUUUGCACCUGACUGACAUAUUCUGCAGCUGAUUACCAAGUGAGUUGUUCUGUGAGCUAGAGGUAUGAUAAAUUAAACAUGCUAUGUAUCACCGAAUCCAUCUUUGGCUGCUUCAUGGUACAUUAUAAUUUGGGAAGGCACUAUUAAAAUAAAAUAUUAAAGAAUAAGCAGAAACAGCCCACCGUUAACAUGUCCAAUGGCAAGAGAAAAUUACAGGUUUCAUUGUAUAUGCGGCACCAUCUGCCUCUUUACCGAGGCUGAGCCUUCGGCUCCCCCAGGGGAAAUCGCUGUGGAUAAGUUAUUCAAUUAGAACAGCAUUAUUGGCCAGCUACCUUGGAGAAUUGGGUUGAUGAUGUUGUGAUUAUCCCGCUCUACAUUCCUUCAUGUCUCUGGCAGGCUGCAGUGCAUGGCAACUUCCUUAAGUGUUUACCAAGCCCUACAGUAGAGGUGAACAAUUGGAAUGAAGAAUAUCAAGGAUUCCUGAAAGAAAAUCAAUUUUGAAUGAACUUUUCUUGCUUAGCCGCAGCUUCAGUAUUCUGAGUCAUACUGUAUUUUUGUGGACUUUCAUGUUAAGUGAUAGAAAUGGCAGUAGGGAGGAAAGUGAAUUGCAUGAUAUGCAUUUAACCUGUGGCACGGCACCAAAUCCUUCUUCACGUGACAUUACAAGGCAGAGAAAUACUCAGGCCUCCUCCAAGAGGUUAUUCAUUCUAGGGAAGGGAAAAUCUCAUAGGAGCAUAAUGCUGUUUUAAUCAACUUCAGCUCUCCUUUGAAAACAUUUGUUUUAUAAAAAGUAAUAAUUAAUUAUGAGUCACUCUCUACCAGGAAGUUGGAGCCCUUCCUUUACAAGAGCGUGCCAGUCAACCAACUUCCUAAGUGGGAGGCUGUUGGGGGUGUUUAUGGUUAUCUUUAGAUCAUGUGGUUUGCAACAGAGGAUCUUGCAGUAUUCCUUUUGCCUCAUCCAAGUAAAACAUAUAUGUAUAUUACAUGCACAUAUUGUGUGUACAUGUAUAUAUAUUAUAUAUAAUUUAUAUAUGUGUAUAUGUGUGUGUGUGUGUGUGUAAAAUUUUUUUCAGUGCCACACCUGUGGCAUAUGAAAGUUCCCAGGCUCGGGGUCAAAUCAGAGGUGCAUCUGUAGGCAAGUUGUAGGCAAGUUGUGGCAAAGCUGGAUCCUUAACCCACUGAGCAAGGCCAGGGAUCAAAUCCUCAUCCUCAUGGAUACUAGUCAGGUUCUUAACCCACUGGGCCACAAUGGGAACUCUCUAUAUAAUUUUUUUUUAAAUUCUAAGUGCCUGUUGAAGAAAGUUGGAAAUACAGAAAACUGUCUUAAAAUUUACACAUAAAAUCAUUUAUUUUCACACUUCUCAUAAAUAUCAUAUCUCUGAUAUGGCAUAUAUUUCCAGAGGGCUUAUUUGCACCCUGGGGUCCAUUGAGACCAUCUUUGAUGAUUGCCAGUUGAGCAGGAACUCAAAUGUGCUCCCUCAUCGCUGGUUCAGAUGCUGCUGACUCUGGAAGAUGGUUGUUCUGUAUUUCAGCUUUCAUGAACUGUAAGAAUUUAUAAGCUCAUAUUCCACCCCCCUUUACUUGACAUAGUGGUAUCAUUUUUAAGACCUUCUUAUAAUAUUAGGACAUUAACUUUUUUUUUUUUUUUUGUCAGUGCAUGGUUAUUGUAAAAAGCAGAGGAACCUGUAUUAGGUUGUAUUCUUGCUUUUAAACUUUCUAUAACCAUACCCCUUUUGAACCUGUAGCCAGGGCUGAUAGCUGCCACCAUCCUGCCCUUGGUAAGCCAUUGCCAAAGAUUCUUGCAAUGUAAUAGAUUUUCUACAUAUAAGCUUCCCUUAUAUUCCUGGAACCAACACUAUUUGGAAAAUUCUUUGGUGUAUGUAAAAUUUGGUUUGUAGAUCUUUUAUUUAGAAUUAUUGCUCCUAUAUUUAUAUUAAGAAUUUAUGUAUAAUUUUUGGAAAAUGAGCAGACAUCACAUUUCAGUACCAGGAUUGUGUUGAGUACCUAAAAUAAAUUAGGUAAUUAUCCUUUAUUUUUUAGUAUUUAUUUAACUUAAAAGUAUUAAUUUAUUCUAAACUGAACAACUUUGGAACAGUAUACAUAGAAAGGAAAUGAUCAAUUCCUUGAGAAUUUGAAAAAACUUAAUCACUAAAAUGUCCAGAUAUUCCCUUAAUAACCUUUUAAUUGUAUUUAAUUAUUUUGUAGGAUUUUUUACUCAUUAAUAAAGAAAAUACGUAUUUUACUGAUUUUUUUAAAUAUUGACAAAUAUUUUUAAUAUUUUAUUAUCUAUUAUUUUCCCUUAUUGGUCUGUGAUUUAAGAACUCUUGGAAUUCCCAUUGUUGCUCAGUGGUAAUGAACCUGGCUAGUACCCACAAGGAUGCAGCUUUGAUCCCUGGUCUCACUCAGUGAGCUGGGGAUCCAGCAUUGCUGUGAGCUGUGGUGUAGGUCACAGACAUGGCUCGGAUCCUGCAUUACUGUGGCUGUGGCAUAGGCUGGUAGCUGUAGCUCCUGAUUCAACCCCUAGCCUGGGAACUUCCAUAUGCU
rnacentral:lncRNA from 1 species